rnacentral:rRNA from 1 species
CAUGUAGGCGGUCUGCUAAGUUCGGAGUGACAGUCACCAGCUUAACUGGUGAAGUGCUUUGAAAACUGGCUGACUUGAGAGCGAGAGAGGGACACGGAAUUCCGGGUGGAGCAGUGAAAUGCGUAGAGAUCCGGAGGAACACCGAAGGCGAAGGCAGUGUCCUGGCUCGUUUCUGACGCUGAGGUGCGAAAGCCAGGGGAGCGAACGGGAUUAGAUACCCCGGUAGUCCUGGCCGUAAACAAUGACCACCAGGUGUGGGAGGGAUCGACCCCUUCCGUGCCGUAGUCAACACAUUAAGUGGUCCGCCUGGGGAGUACGGUCGCAAGACUAAA